GCCCGGCUGGCGCAAUGGUAGCGCGCAAGACUUCUAUCAAAGGACAAUUCUUCCCAUCCUUCCAUCUUGAGGCUGUGGGUUCGAGUCCCACGUCGGGUG